AGAGUUUGAUCCUGGCUCAGAACGAACGCUGGCGGCAGGCUUAACACAUGCAAGUCGAACGCACCGCAAGGUGAGUGGCAGACGGGUGAGUAACGCGUGGGAACCUACCUAUCGGUUCGGAAUAACUUGGGGAAACCCAAGCUAAUACCGGAUAAGCCCUUCGGGGGAAAGAUUUAUCGCCGAUUGAUGGGCCCGCGUUGGAUUAGCUAGUUGGUAGGGUAACGGCCUACCAAGGCUACGAUCCAUAGCUGGUCUAAGAGGAUGAUCAGCCACACUGGGACUGAGACACGGCCCAGACUCCUACGGGAGGCAGCAGUGGGGAAUAUUGGACAAUGGGGGAAACCCUGAUCCAGCCAUGCCGCGUGAGUGAUGAAGGCCUUAGGGUUGUAAAGCUCUUUCGCCCGGGAAGAUAAUGACUGUACCGGGUAAAGAAGCCCCGGCUAACUUCGUGCCAGCAGCCGCGGUAAUUC
rnacentral:rRNA from 1 species